UGUAAAGCAUAGAAGAGAGUGUGGACAGAGACACUGACCUACUGUGGAAAGUUAUGGACUAAUUUUUUGAGUGACGCACUACAAACCGACCAGAAAGGGAGGAAAAGCGGCAGCCCUCUCAAGCAGGGCGUCUUCCGCCCUGUAAACUUGGCAAAAAGCACACUGGACUGAAAUACAGCACUCUCCAUAUAAGGCAGCCCAACUAAACAUGUCAUGCGUAAUUUAUGGGUGGCAGGCAGAGCAUUAACCUCUGCGUGCACAUACUUGGCCCACAUGAAGCCGGUGCUGGAUGGCAGCCCCGGCAGAGGGAUGCGGGCGCUGCCGGGACCCGCGCGACCCGUGGCCGUCCCCAUCGACCCUGGCAGAGGUCACCGAGUUCACAGCACUCGGUCACGCACCUGCCCCAGCUCCCGGGCCACCGGUCCUGCCCCGCGGCGCCCUGCGGGGGCCCGCAGAGAGGCGCGGAGCAGGGCCGGGAGCCUCAGCGCGCGGCCACGGUACGGGCCGAGGACCCCCGAGCGCCACCGGAGGCCGCCGCAGCGCCGCCCGCAGCGCAGAACAAUGCGCGGCCG
rnacentral:lncRNA from 1 species